AGAGUUUGAUCCUGGCUCAGGACGAACGCUGGCGGCGUGCUUAACACAUGCAAGUCGAACGAUGAAGCUUCGGGGUGGAUUAGUGGCGAACGGGUGAGUAACACGUGGGCAAUCUGCUUCACUCUGGGACAAGCCCUGGAAACGGGGUCUAAUACCGGAUGUCACACCUGCAGGCAUCUGCGGGUGUUGAAAGCUCCGGC
rnacentral:rRNA from 1 species